rnacentral:lncRNA from 1 species
AGUAAGAGUCUUACAAUUAAAUUUUAUUUUAUAAUUUUUAGUAAAUAUUCAAAAUAAAAUAAUUAUAAUUUAUAAAAUAUUUUGAUUUAAUUGUAGCCCUGAACUUUUUUUUUUUUUUUUUUCUUAUUGAUAAUUGCUCACUAAAUGUCCAGUAAGAAUUAAUAUCCAUACCCUACUUUCUUAGGGUUAUCCUACGUAAAAUACCACAUGAUUACUCGUAGAUGUACGCAUACAUGCAGGAUAUACGUACCUAUAGCCUUAUAUUAAUAGAUCUACGUGUACCUUUAAAGUUAAAGUGUGUAUGUGUAUAUGUAUAUAAUAUUAAUAAUUAUUAUUUUGUGGGUUAUUAAUUGUUAACAAGUUGAUAAUAAGAAAAAUUGGGCUGGUUUCAAACGUGUAUUGAUAAUUAGGGAUGGAGUUAUAUCCUAAUCACAUUAAUUAGAUGGUUCAAUUAUUGUGGUAAUCUAGCCACACCUACCACACAAACACAUAUAUGAUUUAUAUCAAGCUAUGGCGUACACACCAUGUGAUUCCCAUGACAAGCAUAUUCAUAUAGACACCUAUAUUAUAUGUAGAUGUAUAGAUGUAUGUAGUAGAUGGAUGAUUGCUGUCACCUGCCCGAUUGAGAAAUUAAUUAACUCAGAAUUUUUCGAAUUCUCAAGCACCUUUUAAUUCGCCUCUAUAAUUGCAUCUACGUAUAUAUAUAUCAUCAUAACUUUUUACCUUAAACAAGUAUUAGGAAAUGAUUUUUUUUUUUUUAAAGUAGAAAUGUUUCAGCAUAUUUAAAUGUUUCACCCUUUGAUAUAUGUUACGAACAUGAUUAAUAAAUAUUUCUGAGGAGACAUGAUCGGAAAAUGUACGUAUGAAAAUUUUUGUGCUCAUCGUUGUACUUAUUAGACUUAUACCAGAGUCCAUGGGGCUCAAUAAGCUCUUACAGUCUUUGAAGAAUCCUAAGAAACUUCUCCAUCUUCAUCAUUGUGACAUUUUUUAAGCUCGUUUAAUGGGAUAUAAGAAUAUAUAAUUAUUAAGUGUGCUUUUGCUUUUACGUUCUCUUUUGUGAGGGGAAAAAAAAAAAAGAAAAGCAUAAUUGAUUAAAC